rnacentral:rRNA from 1 species
GAGGCAGCAGUGGGGAAUUUUGGACAAUGGGCGCAAGCCUGAUCCAGCCAUGCCGCGUGCGGGAAGAAGGCCUUCGGGUUGUAAACCGCUUUUGUCAGGGAAGAAAAGGUUCUGGUUAAUACCUGGGACUCAUGACGGUACCUGAAGAAUAAGCACCGGCUAACUACGUGCCAGCAGCCGCGGUAAUACGUAGGGUGCAAGCGUUAAUCGGAAUUACUGGGCGUAAAGCGUGCGCAGGCGGUUAUGCAAGACAGAGGUGAAAUCCCCGGGCUCAACCUGGGAACUGCCUUUGUGACUGCAUAGCUAGAGUACGGUAGAGGGGGAUGGAAUUCCGCGUGUAGCAGUGAAAUGCGUAGAUAUGCGGAGGAACACCGAUGGCGAAGGCAAUCCCCUGGACCUGUACUGACGCUCAUGCACGAAAGCGUGGGGAGCAAACAGGAUUAGAUACCCUGGUAGUCCACGCCCUAAACGAUGUCAACUGGUUGUUGGGAGGGUUUCUUCUCAGUAACGUAGCUAACGCGUGAAGUUGACCGCCUGGGGA